UUAAUCGAAGCCAAAAUAGAGGCUUCUUAUUGUUAAUAAGAAAAAUGAUUAUUAUAUAUCCGAUUAAA
rnacentral:tRNA from 1 species